GAAGGAUCAUUAUCGUACAACCGAGGCACGAGGGCUGUCGCUGACUCUUUGUCGUGCACGCCCAAAGUGCUCUCAACCAUCCAUCUCACCCCAUGUGCACCACCGCGUGGGUUCUCUUUUGGCUUGUCCCGAAGGGGGCUCGCGUUUUCACACAAACUCAAUACAGUGUAGAAUGUCUCUUUGCGAUAACACGCAAUUAAUACAACUUUCAACAACGGAUCUCUUGGCUCUCGCAUCGAUGAAGAACGCAGCGAAAUGCGAUACGUAAUGUGAAUUGCAGAAUUCAGUGAAUCAUCGAAUCUUUGAACGCACCUUGCGCCCCUUGGCAUUCCGAGGGGCACACCCGUUUGAGUGUCGUGAAAUUCUCAAAAACCUUUCUUUUAUGAAAGGGUUUUGGACUUGGAGGCUUUUUGCUGGCUUCACCUCGAAGCUAGCUCCUCCUAAAUGAAUUAGUGGGGUCUGCUUUGCCGAUCCUCGACGUGAUAAGAUGUUACUACGUCUCGGGUUUGGCGAUGGCACCCGCUUCUAAUCGUCUCAUUGACAAUGAUGGCGUUCCGGUCACCACCGUUUCAUCGGUCGGGAGGCUUGACCCACCAAAAAAACCUUGACCUCAAAUCGGGUGAGACUACCCGCUGAACUUAAGCAUAUCAAUAAGCGGAGGAAAAGAAACUAACAAGGAUUCCCCUAGUAACUGCGAGUGAAGCGGGAAAAGCUCAAAUUUAAAAUCUGGUGGCCUUUG
rnacentral:rRNA from 1 species